rnacentral:siRNA from 1 species
AACCGUGGUUUUUGUUGUGCGGGG